ACCUGGCUGGCUCAGUCGGUAGAGCAUGAGACUCUUGGUCUUAGGGUCAUGAGUUCAAGUCCCAUGUUGGGUG
rnacentral:tRNA from 1 species